UACGGAGGGUGCAAGCGUCAUCCGGAUUCACUGGGUUUAAAGGGUGCGUAGGUGGGCAGGUAAGUCAGUGGUGAAAUCUCUGGGCUUAACCCAGAAACUGCCGUUGAUACUAUCUGUCUUGAAUAUAGUGGAGGUGAGCGGAAUAUGUCAUGUAGCGGUGAAAUGCUUAGAUAUGACAUAGAACACCAAUUGCGAAGGCAGCUCGCUACACUAUUAUUGACACUGAGGCACGAAAGCGUGGGGAUCAAACAGG
rnacentral:rRNA from 1 species